UCCUCAACUACUAGCCCUCCCAGCAAUAUUAACCUCACCCUAACACUAACCCUAAAUAUACUACCUUUAAUAAACAAAUCAUUUUCCCACCUCAGUAUUUG
rnacentral:rRNA from 1 species